rnacentral:tRNA from 1 species
GGCCCAGUGGUCGGCGCCGGCGACACGGACCCUGAUCGCGCGGCGGGCGCGGGCGAGCUCCUGCGCCCACUGCGGUUCGGCGCCCCGCUGGGCCA